UGUGACAGUUGGUGAUUACUAGCAUUUUGCCAGUCCUGGCCUCUGAUGUUUCUAACAACUGUAGUAGCAACACUUCAGAUUUUGGGAGUGCCCCAGCCCCUCUCAGCGGUCCCCAAAGGACUGGUUUGUUUCCAUAAAGCUUGAAGCUACUGGUGACAAGCCAUUGUGACGGGCUGGAAAGAUGACAGCGGAAGGAGGAGAAAUCCCAAAAGGUUAAUGAUGCUAACAUCAUGUAGCAAAACACAGGCCGAGCCGGGAUCUCCGGCUGCUCCACGUUGCUAGGCUGCUCUGUUAUCUGGCUUCUAACAUUCCCGCCUAUUAUGGCUACAGCAUUUUGCUUCUGCACUUUUUCUCAUUUUCUUUUUGUAAAGGCCUAAUGUGAGUAGGUUUUACUUUAAUUGGGCUUAUGAAAAAAUCUUAAGCACUAUGGGUACAAUAGCGCCUUUAUUCUUAAAAUGUUAUUUUAUCGUAAUGCUGUACUUUGGCUGAGUGGCUGCAGAAGAUGAUGAAUUACAGGAAGAUUGCAGCCACAGACCAUCUGGGCACUAGCUUUGCUUCAUUCGUAUGCGUCCACCCUGCCCACGGACUAGAUCAUCAGUGUUUGGAAGGCAUCGUGGUGCCCAGAGUAAACCCUCAGGACUCAGCCCAGCACUGUGGCUUCAGCAGGUGUCUCCAGGCCCAGGAUCUGUCAGGCUGAAGAAAAAGUCGCAGUCGGUGGACAUGACCGCUCCAGGGUUCAGGCCCUUGGCAGGGGCGGGGAAGCCAGCGCCCCAGGUCGGGAAGGCUGCAGCGCCCAAGACUCCCACCAUCGAGGAGGAGCAGCAGAACACGGCCAAUGCCCAGCACCAGCCACCGCGCCGGAGCGGGCUGCAGAGGUUCUACACCAUCGGUACGCAGACCUGGAGGAAGCCAGCCUGCUGA
rnacentral:lncRNA from 1 species